ACUGUCAGUGAUGAUGUGCUUCCCGCCUUGUUUGAGUGUAUCAGCCAUGAGAAAACUAGCAUGCACUACCAUCUGAGACAGA